rnacentral:sRNA from 2 species
GUCUGCACUUGUCGGGGAAGGGUGAGAACCCUCGAUUAAGGUUCGACUCGAGCGAAAGCGAGAGAACGUUGCCAACGGCAACGGCCCGUAGGGUGAGGA